rnacentral:rRNA from 1 species
AAUAGAUACCCAGGUAGUCCACGCCGUAAACGAUGAGUGCUAAGUGUUAGGGGGUUUCCGCCCCUUAGUGCUGCAGCUAACGCAUUAAGCACUCCGCCUGGGGAGUACGGUCGCAAGACUGAAACUCAAAGGAAUUGACGGGGGCCCGCACAAGCGGUGGAGCAUGUGGUUUAAUUCGAAGCAACGCGAAGAACCUUACCAGGUCUUGACAUCCCAUUGACCACUAUGGAGACAUAGUUUUCCCUUCGGGGACAACGGUGACAGGUGGUGCAUGGUUGUCGUCAGCUCGUGUCGUGAGAUGUUGGGUUAAGUCCCGCAACGAGCGCAACCCUUGUUCUUAGUUGCCAUCAUUUAGUUGGGCACUCUAAGGAGACUGCCGGUGACAAACCGGAGGAAGGUGGGGAUGACGUCAAAUCAUCAUGCCCCUUAUGACCUGGGCUACACACGUGCUACAAUGGACGGUACAAACGGUUGCCAACCCGCGAGGGGGGAGCUAAUCCGAUAAAACCGUUCUCAGUUCGGAUUGUAGGCUGCAACUCGCCUACAUGGAACG